AUGUCAGGAGGACAUUUUCUUGUCAAAUCCUUAUAUCUCUCCCAUGCUUCAUAAAGUGUUUCACCAUCUUGUUGCCUGAAUGUUUGGACCUCAGCCCUCAAUCU